CAUCUGGAGGACUGAGCUUGGUUUUUAGGCGUUGGGCCACCAAAAAGACUGCUGGAUCAACAAAAAAUGGCCGUGACUCUAACCCAAAGUAUUUGGGUGUUAAGAAAUUUGGUGGAGAGAAAGUAGAACCAGGAAACAUCAUCGUUCGCCAAAGAGGUACCCGCUUCCAUCCUGGGAACUAUGUUGGAAUGGGGAAGGACCACACUCUCUUCUCCCUGAAGGAGGGCCACGUGAGGUUCGAGCGGAAUAAGCUGACUGGUAGGAAAUGGAUUCAUGUGGAACCUGCAGCUGGCCACACUCUCCACCCUGUCUAUGCCACCGCAGCUGAUACGGAGCAACUUCAGUAGCGCCUCUGUCCAUGGGGUUUGCAGUAACAACAUGUCGCUGAUAGCUUCCUGGGAAGGCUUUGCUGUUUUGCUCCGGCUCGGAUACCUUCAGUCAAUGAACUUGUUUCAACGAAGAUGAUCCUAGGUUUGGAUAAUUGCAAUAAGUAGUAACUUCAGCAUGUUUCUGAUGCAUUUUGAGUAUCCAUUCUGCACUUCCAUGUGUAGAUUUUAGUCUGAUUAGCUGCAAUGAGUAGGUCAUAUGCUGUUUUUCUCUGAAAUCAUCAGUGUUACUUCCAGUCGUUCCGUUCUCCAAGUUUGCCGACUGACCCUUGACUCAGUGUAGUUGCUGUUGAUGGUAUGUCUUGCAAGUUAUUAUCCACACCUCCUCAUGGCGCCUGAAGCUAUUACGCCAUGAGAACAUGGUCAUCUGCCUGAACC